rnacentral:rRNA from 1 species
UACGAAGGUGGCAAGCGUUGUUCGGAUUUACUGGGCGUACAGGGAGCGUAGGCGGUUGGAUAAGCCCUCCGUGAAAUCUCCAGGCUUAACCUGGAAAGUGCAGAGGGGACUGUUCAGCUAGAGGAUGGGAGAGGAGCGCGGAAUUCCCGGUGUAGCGGUGAAAUGCGUAGAGAUCAGGAGGAACACCUGUGGCGAAGGCGUCCAUCUGGCCCGUUACUGACGCUGAGGCGCGAAAGCUAGGGGAGCAAACGGG